AUCAGUUGCAAUGACACAACUCUUCAUUUUAUCCUGACUUUCCUCUAGCAACAGAGCCAUCUCUGCUGGGGCUGUUCGGCUUGGGAGAAGCAAUACAAAUGGGGCAUCCUCCUGAUCAGCUCACCUUUACCUAAAAGUUUGAUGCUGACACGUCCAUUCUCACAAUUUGGAGACCUUAAGCUGGGACAUGAGAAGCAAUAAGUAAGGCAAGGAAGAAGCAAAGAAAAAACAGUUUAUCUCCACGUUCUGACUUCAGAAGUUUACCCAAAUAAAGACCUAUUUUCCCCUGAA